UCUACGGGUGGCUGCAGUGGGGAAUAUUGGACAAUGGGCGAAAGCCUGAUCCAGCCAUGCCGCGUGUGUGAAGAAGGCCUUCGGGUUGUAAAGCACUUUCAGUGGGGAAGAAAGCCUUGGGGCUAAUACCCUCGAGGAAGGACAUCACCCACAGAAGAAGCACCGGCUAACUCCGUGCCAGCAGCCGCGGUAAUACGGAGGGUGCGAGCGUUAAUCGGAAUUACUGGGCGUAAAGCGCGCGUAGGCGGUCUGAUAAGCCGGUUGUGAAAGCCCCGGGCUCAACCUGGGAACGGCAUCCGGAGGGGGCGCGGAAGGAGUGCGGGAGAGGAGGGAAAAACCCCCGGGGGAGCGGGGACAUGCGGAGAGAGCGGGAGGAAAACCGGGGGCGACGGGGGCCUGCUGAACUCAACCGCACGGUGGGGGGCAGACGCGUGGGAAGCAACAGGGAUUAGCUCCCCCAGUAGUC
rnacentral:rRNA from 1 species